rnacentral:rRNA from 1 species
AGUGAACGCUGGCGGUAGGCCUAACACAUGCAAGUCGAACGGCAGCACAGUAAGAGCUUGCUCUUACGGGUGGCGAGUGGCGGACGGGUGAGGAAUACAUCGGAAUCUACUUUUUCGUGGGGGAUAACGUAGGGAAACUUACGCUAAUACCGCAUACGACCUACGGGUGAAAGCAGGGGAUCUUCGGACCUUGCGCGAUUGAAUGAGCCGAUGUCGGAUUAGCUAGUUGGCGGGGUAAAGGCCCACCAAGGCGACGAUCCGUAGCUGGUCUGAGAGGAUGAUCGGCCACACUGGAACUGAGACACGGUCCAGACUCCUACGGGAGGCAGCAGUGGGGAAUAUUGGACAAUGGGCGCAAGCCUGAUCCAGCCAUACCGCGUGGGUGUAGAAGGCCUUCGGGUUGUAAAGCCCUUUUGUUGGGAAAGAAAAGCAGCAGGUUAAUACCCCGCUGUUCUGACGGUACCCAAAGAAUAAGCACCGGCUAACUUCGUG